AUUGAACGCUGGCGGCAGGCCUAACACAUGCAAGUCGAGCGGUAGAGAGAAGCUUGCUUCUCUUGAGAGCGGCGGACGGGUGAGUAAUGCCUAGGAAUCUGCCUGGUAGUGGGGGAUAACGUUCGGAAACGGACGCUAAUACCGCAUACGUCCUACGGGAGAAAGCAGGGGACCUUCGGGCCUUGCGCUAUCAGAUGAGCCUAGGUCGGAUUAGCUAGUUGGUGAGGUAAUGGCUCACCAAGGCGACGAUCCGUAACUGGUCUGAGAGGAUGAUCAGUCACACUGGAACUGAGACGCGGUCCAGACUCCUACGGGAGGCAGCAGUGGGGAAUAUUGGACAAUGGGCGAAAGCCUGAUCCAGCCAUGCCGCGUGUGUGAAGAAGGUCUUCGGAUUGUAAAGCACUUUAAGUUGGGAGGAAGGGCAGUAAAUUAAUACUUUGCUGUUUUGACGUUACCGACAGAAUAAGCACCGGCUAACUCUGUGCCAGCAGCCGCGGUAAUACAGAGGGUGCAAGCGUUAAUCGGAAUUACUGGGCGUAAAGCGCGCGUAGGUGGUUUGUUAAGUUGGAUGUGAAAUCCCCGGGCUCAACCUGGGAACUGCAUUCAAAACUGACUGACUAGAGUAUGGUAGAGGGUGGUGGAAUUUCCUGUGUAGCGGUGAAAUGCGUAGAUAUAGGAAGGAACACCAGUGGCGAAGGCGACCACCUGGACUAAUACUGACACUGAGGUGCGAAAGCGCGGGGAGCAAACAGGAUUAGAUACCCUGGUAGUCCACGCCGUAAACGAUGUCAACUAGCCGUUGGAAGCCUUGAGCUUUUAGUGGCGCAGCUAACGCAUUAAGUUGACCGCCUGGGGAGUACGGCCGCAAGGUUAAAACUCAAAUGAAUUGACGGGGGCCCGCACAAGCGGUGGAGCAUGUGGUUUAAUUCGAAGCAACGCGAAGAACCUUACCAGGCCUUGACAUCCAAUGAACUUUCUAGAGAUAGAUUGGUGCCUUCGGGAACAUUGAGACAGGUGCUGCAUGGCUGUCGUCAGCUCGUGUCGUGAGAUGUUGGGUUAAGUCCCGUAACGAGCGCAACCCUUGUCCUUAGUUACCAGCACGUAAUGGUGGGCACUCUAAGGAGACUGCCGGUGACAAACCGGAGGAAGGUGGGGAUGACGUCAAGUCAUCAUGGCCCUUACGGCCUGGGCUACACACGUGCUACAAUGGUCGGUACAGAGGGUUGCCAAGCCGCGAGGUGGAGCUAAUCCCAUAAAACCGAUCGUAGUCCGGAUCGCAGUCUGCAACUCGACUGCGUGAAGUCGGAAUCGCUAGUAAUCGCGAAUCAGAAUGUCGCGGUGAAUACGUUCCCGGGCCU
rnacentral:rRNA from 1 species